rnacentral:rRNA from 1 species
GUCUGGUGCCAGCAGCCGCGGUAAUUCCAGCUCCAAUAGCGUAUAUUAAAGUUGUUGCAGUUAAAAAGCUCGUAGUUGAAUUUCGGGAUCAAUACGUCGGUCGUGCUUCGGUACGUACUGGCGUCAUUGAUUUCUCCCUUCUGACGAACCAUGAUGUCAUUAACUUGGUGUCAUGGGAAAUCAGGACUGUUACUUUGAAAAAAUUAGAGUGUUUAAAGCAAGCUAACGCUUGAAUACAUUAGCAUGGAAUAAUGAAAUAGGACGUUUGAUCCUAUUUUGUUGGUUUCUAGGAUCGACGUAAUGAUUAAUAGGGAUAGUUGGGGGCAUUAGUAUUCAAUUGUCAGAGGUGAAAUUCUUGGAUUUAUUGAAGACUAACUACUGCGAAAGCAUUUGCCAAGGAUGUUUUCAUUAAUCAAGAACGAAAGUUAGGGGAUCGAAGACGAUCAGAUACCGUCGUAGUC